UCCUGUAGACGGAGUGGUGUCGCGUGCGGCAAUAUCCCAAACGUGGGCAGCCACGUUUGGUGCGCCAAACCCCUCACACACCUGUAUACUUGUCCCUUUGCUUUCCGCAUCAGCAAUGAUGCGGAACAUCAUAUCAAAUUCUGUUUAAAUGUAAUGUCUGAAUAAACUAUAAUAAGUUAAAACUUUCAACAACGGAUCUCUUGGUUCUCGCAUCGAUGAAGAACGCAGCGAAAUGCGAUACGUAGUGUGAAUUGCAGAUUUCCGUGAAUCAUCGAAUCUUUGAACGCACAUUGCGCCCUCUGGUAUUCCGGAGGGCAUGCCUGUCUGAGCGUCAACUCAUCCUCGAACUUAUGUUUGGUCUUGGAAGAAGAGGCUUGCCCUCUCUUCUGCAAAUCAUUGGCAGUGGCUCAAGCUAUAGCAACGUAGUAAGCACAUUUCGUUGCAAUUGUAGUUGGAGAAGCUCGCCAGAACCCAAAUCUUUUCAGUUUGACCUCAGAUCAGGUAGGGAUACCCCCUGAACUUAAGCAUAUCAAUAAGGCGGAGGAA
rnacentral:rRNA from 1 species